rnacentral:rRNA from 1 species
UAGUCCAAACCGUAAAUGAUGCUCGCUAGGUGUAUUUCCUUCGGGAGGUGUGCUGUAAGCUAACGCGUUAAGCGAGUCGCCUGAGUAGUAUAGUCGCAAGACCGAAACUCAAAGGGAUAGGCGGGGGAACACACAAGCAGAGGAUUGCCUCGAUUAAUUGGAUAAUACGCCAAGAAUCUUACCUAGGCUUGACAUCCUGAGAAUCUCUUAGAAAUAAGAGAGUGCCUUCGGGAGCUCAGUGACAGAUGCUACAUGGCCGUCGUCAGCUCGUGCCCGCAAGGUGUCCCGGUUAAAGUCCCGGAAAACGNGCGCAACCCUCAUCGCUAGUUAGAAUGUCUAGCGAGACUGCCCUGGUAACGAGGAGGAAGGAGAGGAUGACGUCAGGUCACUAUGGGCUCUUACGCCUAGGGGCGUCAGAGACAAUACAAUGGGGUGUGCAGUAGGUAGCGAAACCGCGAGGUGGAGCCAAU